rnacentral:rRNA from 1 species
AUGAACGCUAGCUACAGGCUUAACACAUGCACGUCGAGGGGAAACGACAUCGAAAGCUUGCUUUUGAUGGGCGUCGACCGGCGCACGGGUGAGUAACGCGUAUCCAACCUGCCCAUCACUUGGGAAUAACCUUGCGAAAGUAAGACUAAUACCCAAUGAUAUCCCACGAAGGCAUCGGAAUGGGAUUAAAGAUUUAUCGGUGAUGGAUGGGGAUGCGUCUGAUUAGCUUGUUGGCGGGGUAACGGCCCACCAAGGCAACGAUCAGUAGGGGUUCUGAGAGGAAGGUCCCCCACAUUGGAACUGAGACACGGUCCAAACUCCUACGGGAGGCAGCAGUGAGGAAUAUUGGUCAAUGGGCGAGAGCCUGAACCAGCCAAGUAGCGUGCAGGAAGACGGCCCUAUGGGUUGUAAACUGCUUUUAUAAGGGAAUAAAGUGGGUCACGUGUGACUUUUUGCAUGUACCUUAUGAAUAAGGACCGGCUAAUUCCGUG